ACAUGCAGUCGAGCGGAUGAAGGGAGCUUGCUCCUGGAUUCAGCGGCGGACGGGUGAGUAAUGCCUAGGAAUCUGCCUGGUAGUGGGGGAUAACGUCCGGAAACGGGCGCUAAUACCGCAUACGUCCUGAGGGAGAAAGUGGGGGAUCUUCGGACCUCACGCUAUCAGAUGAGCCUAGGUCGGAUUAGCUAGUUGGUGGGGUAAAGGCCUACCAAGGCGACGAUCCGUAACUGGUCUGAGAGGAUGAUCAGUCACACUGGAACUGAGACACGGUCCAGACUCCUACGGGAGGCAGCAGUGGGGAAUAUUGGACAAUGGGCGAAAGCCUGAUCCAGCCAUGCCGCGUGUGUGAAGAAGGUCUUCGGAUUGUAAAGCACUUUAAGUUGGGAGGAAGGGCAGUAAGUUAAUACCUUGCUGUUUUGACGUUACCAACAGAAUAAGCACCGGCUAACUUCGUGCCAGCAGCCGCGGUAAUACGAAGGGUGCAAGCGUUAAUCGGAAUUACUGGGCGUAAAGCGCGCGUAGGUGGUUCAGCAAGUUGGAUGUGAAAUCCCCGGGCUCAACCUGGGAACUGCAUCCAAAACUACUGAGCUAGAGUACGGUAGAGGGUGGUGGAAUUUCCUGUGUAGCGGUGAAAUGCGUAGAUAUAGGAAGGAACACCAGUGGCGAAGGCGACCACCUGGACUGAUACUGACACUGAGGUG
rnacentral:rRNA from 1 species